GGGUCUGGGGCCUGUCACCUGGUCCUGCCUGUGUUUCCUGGGAGGAGGACCUGGUUGAUAGAAGAAUUUAUCUCGUAGUCUUAACAUCCACUGUAAUUCCAAACUUUGAGGACGAUAGAGAUCAGUGGGCUUUGACUGCCCAGCAUGCAGUCUCCAUUCUUAGGUGGGUUCCCAAGCCUGUAAAAUGUAAGCCUUAUGCUGCUGAGGGCCAUCUUGCCACCCUGAGGGAAACGCUGCCUGAGAAUGAAACAAGCAUAAGUAAAAGCUGAGCUGUGAGAUGGAGCAAGAUGAAGGCCACAUGACAUCUUUGGAGCACCUGGAUCUAACUGUGCCUUAAGCUAGUCUAACCCUGAACAUUUCAUCAUUUCAUUGACAUGAGCCCAGGUUUUCUUUUUUUUUGGAUGGAGUCUUGCUCUGUCGCCCAGGCUGGAGUGCAGUAGCUCAAUCUCGGCUCACUGCAAGCUCCACCUCCCGGGUUCACGCCAUUCUCCUGCCUUAGCCUCCCAAGUAGCUGGGACAACAGGCGCCCACCACCACUCCCAGCUAAUUUUUUGUAUUUUUAGUAGAGACGGGGUUUUACCAUGUUAGCCGGGAUGGUCUUGAUCUCCUGACCUCAUGAUCCGCCCGCCUCGGCCUCCCAAAGUGCUGGGAUUACAGGUGUGAGCCACUGCACCCAGCCCUCAGGUUUUCCCUUUUUUUACCCCUCCUUUUGAAAAUUUGAUGUGGAAUUUUGCCACCUGCAGCCAGAAGAGUUU
rnacentral:lncRNA from 1 species